GCCUUCGUGGUGUAACGGUACCACACUCGGCGCGUAUUCUAGAGGUCCAGGUUCGAAUCCCGGCCAGGGCA
rnacentral:tRNA from 1 species